AACCACCACAAACGUCUGAAUCAACUCCAAACUUGACACCACAAGAAAAAAAUAUUUCUUCAACGGCUCGCAGUGCUUGGGAAAAGAAUUUUGACGUAUUUGGUCCAAUAGUCGAAAAAAAUGGAUUUACUCGCAACCUUAAGGCGGAUAGGAUUAUAUGUGGUUUUCCACGUAAUCGACAAUUGGUAUUUCUUGUUCAAUUUGGUGAAAUCGAGG